GACGAACGCUGGCGGCGUGCUUAACACAUGCAAGUCGAACGGAAAGGCCCUGCUUUUGUGGGGUGCUCGAGUGGCGAACGGGUGAGUAACACGUGAGUAACCUGCCCUUGACUUUGGGAUAACUUCAGGAAACUGGGGCUAAUACCGGAUAGGAGCUCCUGCUGCAUGGUGGGGGUUGGAAAGUUUCGGCGGUUGGGGAUGGACUCGCGGCUUAUCAGCUUGUUGGUGGGGUAGUGGCUUACCAAGGCUUUGACGGGUAGCCGGCCUGAGAGGGUGACCGGCCACAUUGGGACUGAGAUACGGCCCAGACUCCUACGGGAGGCAGCAGUGGGGAAUAUUGCACAAUGGGCGGAAGCCUGAUGCAGCAACGCCGCGUGCGGGAUGACGGCCUUCGGGUUGUAAACCGCUUUCGCCUGUGACGAAGCGUGAGUGACGGUAAUGGGUAAAGAAGCACCGGCUAACUACGUGCCAGCAGCCGCGGUGAUACGUAGGGUGCGAGCGUUGUCCGGAUUUAUUGGGCGUAAAGGGCUCGUAGGUGGUUGAUCGCGUCGGAAGUGUAAUCUUGGGGCUUAACCCUGAGCGUGCUUUCGAUACGGGUUGACUUGAGGAAGGUAGGGGAGAAUGGAAUUCCUGGUGGAGCGGUGGAAUGCGCAGAUAUCAGGAGGAACACCAGUGGCGAAGGCGGUUCUCUGGGCCUUUCCUGACGCUGAGGAGCGAAAGCGUGGGGAGCGAACAGGCUUAGAUACCCUGGUAGUCCACGCUGUAAACGGUGGGUACUAGGUGUGGGGUCCAUUCCACGGGUUCCGUGCCGUAGCUAACGCUUUAAGUACCCCGCCUGGGGAGUACGGCCGCAAGGCUAAAACUCAAAGGAAUUGACGGGGCCCCGCACAAGCGGCGGAGCAUGCGGAUUAAUUCGAUGCAACGCGUAGAACCUUACCUGGGUUUGACAUGGAUCGGGAGUGCUCAGAGAUGGGUGUGCCUCUUUUAGGGUCGGUUCACAGGUGGUGCAUGGCUGUCGUCAGCUCGUGUCGUGAGAUGUUGGGUUAAGUCCCGCAACGAGCGCAACCCUUGUUCACUGUUGCCAGCACGUUAUGGUGGGGACUCAGUGGAGACCGCCGGGGUCAACUCGGAGGAAGGUGGGGAUGACGUCAAGUCAUCAUGCCCCUUAUGUCCAGGGCUUCACGCAUGCUACAAUGGCUGGUACAGAGAGUGGCGAGCCUGUGAGGGUGAGCGAAUCUCGGAAAGCCGGUCUCAGUUCGGAUUGGGGUCUGCAACUCGACCUCAUGAAGUCGGAGUCGCUAGUAAUCGCAGAUCAGCAACGCUGCGGUGAAUACGUUCCCGGG
rnacentral:rRNA from 1 species